GCCACCGUAGCUCAGUUGGUAGAGCAUUUCAUUCGUAAUGAAGGGGUCGGAGGUUCAAAUCCUCUCGGUGGCU
rnacentral:tRNA from 1 species